rnacentral:rRNA from 1 species
CCUACGGGAGGCAGCAGUGGGGAAUAUUGGACAAUGGGCGCAAGCCUGAUCCAGCAAUGCCGCGUGUGUGAAGAAGGCCUUCGGGUUGUAAAGCACUUUUAUCAGGAGCGAAAUACUACCGGCUAAUAUCCGGUGGGGCUGACGGUACCUGAGGAAUAAGCACCGGCUAACUUCGUGCCAGCAGCCGCGGUGAUACAUAGGCUUCAAGCGUUGUCCGGAUUUAUUGGGCGUAAAGAGUUCGUAGGCGGUCGAGUAAGUCGGGUGUGAAAAUUCUGGGCUCAACCCAGAGACGCCACCCGAUACUGCUUAACUUGAGUUCGAUAGGGGAGUGGGGAAUUCCUAGUGUAGCGGUGAAAUGCGCAGAUAUUAGGAGGAACACCGGUGGCGAAGGCGCCACUCUGGAUCGACACUGACGCUGAGGAACGAAAGCAUGGGUAGCAAACAGGAUUAGAUACCCUGGUAGUCCAUGCGGUAAACGGUGGGCACUAGGUGUGGGUUUCCAUUAACGAAAUCCGCGCCGUCGCUAACGCAUUAAGUGCCCCGCCUGGGGAGUACGGUCGCAAGACUAAAACUCAAAGGAAUUGACGG